GCCGGGCGUGGUGGCACAUGCCUGUACUCCCAGCUACUCGGGAGGCUGAGGCAGAAGAAUCGCUUGAACCCGGGAGGUGGAGGUUGCAGUGAGCCAAGAUGUAAGCCAAGAUGGCGCCACUGCACCUCAGCCUGGGCAACAGAGCGAGAUUCCGUCUCUA
rfam:Pan troglodytes isolate Yerkes chimp pedigree #C0471 (Clint) chromosome X, whole genome shotgun sequence.